GGUUUGUUGCUCAGUGGUAGAGCACUUGCCUAGCAUGUGCAAGGCCCUGGGUUCGAUCCUCAGCACCA
rnacentral:tRNA from 1 species